UUUCGAUUUCACUGAUCCCGCUGAACACACACUGCCUCUUGCCAAGUCCAGCCUUGAAGAGUUGGAGUCAUCUGGAAAAAUUCAUAAUGAAGGGAGGGAAUGAACUUGACCUUGAAGGGCCACCAGGAUUUGGCCGAGCGCGCAGAUGAUCUUUAAGACGUGCUCGUCUGAUUUGGCACUUGGAUUCUGGGAGGAACAGGAGGAAGAAGUCUCUCAGACUGGGAAUCAAGUUUGAGCUCCCCUUGGGGCUAUUAUUAUUACCUAAGGAACACAGUCAGGCUCCUGGGUGAAGAAUCAAACUAAGGACAGUGGUGUCUGUGACCUGGGGUUCUCCGCGGCCCCGCGUGGCUGGCAGCCUCCAGGACUGCCUGGUGACCCCCCUGCUGUUGUCACGGCCUCUCAUCGUGCCCACCCCUGGAGUGUGGGCUGGAUCUCGGGACUCGCUUCGCGUGGACAGACCACAGACUACAGCAAAGGUGAGCAACAAGGAAUACCAAGAGGAGGUUUCCACACCAUGAACAAACAUGGCACCAGGAUCUGGAAGCUCCGGGCUUCUCCAUCUUCUAGAAUUCUGGGAGCCUCACAUGGCCCCCUCCUUGGCCAGUGUAUUAGGCUGUACUUGUAUUUCUGAAAUACAAAUGAAUACCUGAGACUGGGUAAUUUAUAAAGAAAAGAGGGUUAACUGGCUCACCGUUCUGCAGGCUGUACAGGAAGCACGAUGCUGGCAUCUGCUCGGCUUCUGGAGAGCUCUCAGGAAGCUUCCAAUUGUGGAGGAAGGUGAAGCAGAAGCAGGCAUCUCACGUGGCCAGAGCAGGAGCAAGAGCACGAGGAGGGAGGGGCUACACACUUUUAAAUGACCAGAUCUUGCAAGAACUCACUCACUAUGGCGAGGAUUGUACUAAGAGGGGUGCUGCUGAAAUGUUUAUGAGAAAUCCGCUGGCAUGAUCCAGUACCCUCCCCCCAGGCCUCACCUCCAACAAUGGGGAUUCCAUUUCAACAAAAGAUUUGGGCAGGGACACACAUCCAAACCAUGUUAGGA